UAAAUGCGGGUCUUUUUUCCUCUAGUGUAAUUUGACAACGUUAAUUUUUGUGUUUAGAAUUUGACUGUCGAUUUUUUUGCAGUACAUCUCAAUCUCUUUCUUGGAACAUUGAACAAAUGCUUGGGGAUAUACUUCAUACGAUGGACAAGAGAGUCCUGAUAAAUCAGAUUUCUUCAAUGAUCUAUCGUUUACUAUUUUUAUUUUUGGGCUCUAUUCAUAAUCAUACUUCUCAUUUUUAAUUCUUCAUCCGAAGCAUAUAAAUCGGAGAUGAGUAUUUCUUCCGAUUUGUACUAUUCUACUUCUCUGAUCGAAU
rnacentral:lncRNA from 1 species